UGAGGAAUAUUGGUCAAUGGGCGAGAGCCUGAACCAGCCAAGUAGCGUGGAGGAUGACUGCCCUACGGGUUGUAAACUCCUUUUAUAAGGGAAUAAAGGCGCGUACGUGUACGCAUUUGCAUGUACCUUAUGAAUAAGCAUCGGCUAACUCCGUGCCAGCAGCCGCGGUAAUACGGAGGAUGCGAGCGUUAUCCGGAUUUAUUGGGUUUAAAGGGAGCGUAGACGGGAUGUCAAGUCAGCUGUGAAAGUUUGCGGCUCAACCGUAAAAUUGCAGUUGAAACUGGCUUUCUUGAGUGCGUUCGAGGCAGGCGGAAUUCGUGGUGUAGCGGUGAAAUGCAUAGAUAUCACGAAGAACCCCGAUUGCGAAGGCAGCCUGCUAGGCCGCAACUGACGUUGAUGCUCGAAAGUGCGGGUAUCAAACAGG
rnacentral:rRNA from 1 species